AGAGGGCCCGGAUGCAACGUUGCCAUGGAAACUUCCUGUGCUGAUAACAAGGAUAAUGAGGGAGAUGGCCUGGUGGAUUGCUUGGACCCUGACUGCUGCCUGCAGUCAGCCUGUCAGAACAGCCUGCUCUGCCGGGGGUCCCGGGACCCACUGGACAUCAUUCAGCAGGGCCAGACGGAUUGGCCCACAGUGAAGUCCUUCUAUGACCGUAUCAAGCUCUUGGCAGGCAAGGAUAGCACCCACAUCAUUCCUGGAGAGAACCCUUUCAACAGCAGGUAGGCACCCUCUGUCCCUGCAAACUGCUGAAGUCACUGAUUUUCUUCCUUUUGGAGCCAGAGGCAGUGCUCCAGCUUUCCCGGGGACCCAAUUGGCCUGGAAUCUGCCCCCCUAGAGGCAGCUCCCUCCAAGGGGGCCUCAGAGAAGUGCCCUUUCCUCACUUUGUGUUGGACUCCAGAACAGAGCCCUAGUGUCUUUGCAGGAUGUCAACAUCUUUAACCCAGAACCUGCUGGAGACACCUGUUGAUUCCCUGGUUUUUAAAUCAUUUUUAAAAUCUGUUAUUUUAUGAUGUUAUUGUCAUUAUAUUAAAUCUCCCUUUAUAAUG
rnacentral:sRNA from 1 species